UAGGGAAUCUUCCGCAAUGGACGCAAGUCUGACGGAGCAACGCCGCGUGAGUGAUGAAGGUUUUCGGAUCGUAAAGCUCUGUUGCCAAGGAAGAAUAUUUGGGAGAGUAACUGCUCCCAAAAUGACGGUACUUGAGAAGAAAGCCCCGGCUAACUACGUGCCAGCAGCCGCGGUAAUACGUAGGGGGCAAGCGUUGUCCGGAAUUAUUGGGCGUAAAGCGCGCGCAGGCGGUUUAUUAAGUCCGGUGUUUAAUCCCAGGGCUCAACCCUGGUUCGCACUGGAAACUGGUAGACUGGAGUGUAGGAGAGGAAAGUGGAAUUCCACGUGUAGCGGUGAAAUGCGUAGAGAUGUGGAGGAACACCAGUGGCGAAGGCGACUUUCUGGCCUAUAACUGACGCUGAGGCGCGAAAGCGUGGGGAGCAAACA
rnacentral:rRNA from 1 species